rnacentral:misc_RNA from 1 species
ACAUAAACGAGAUGGCAGAAGUAUUUCUGCUUACGCACCUUAUGUGCGCGAAAUGAAUUUAUGGCUCAAACAUGU